CUGUGCCAUGCCAUUCUGAGUCAUGCAGUGCCAUUCCAUGCCAUUCUGAGCCAGGGUAAGCUGUGCCCUGCCAUUCUGAGCCACGGUAAGCCAUGCCAUGCUGUUCUGAGCCAUGGUGAGCAGUGCCAUGCCAUUCUGAGCCAUGGUAAGCUGUGCCAUGCCAUUCUGAGCCAUGCGGUGCCAUUCCAUGCCAUGCCUCAGGGCAGAGAGAUGAGGAGGGGGGAUGUGAAACGAAGACCCACAUGGGGAUCUGGGGGUCACCACCACCUCAAGGUGACUGCGUGGGUAGGCACUGCGGUCCCUUUGCCCUCCCUCCCCACGCUGACCCCGGGCACACAGCGGAUAUUUCAUCUUAUUUGACUCCAGAUCAGUUUGUUGAAGCAUAGAAAUUUCAAACCGAGGCGCUGGGUGCCCGAGCUUGGAGCAAUUAAAGGUAACAUUUUCCCAAGCAGAGCGAAGCAGCCGAGCGCAUCCCGGCACCACGGAGAUGCGGGGGAGACUAAAGAGGAAAUCAAAACAACAACAAUAAAUAAACUUUUCUUAAGGCUUAAAGAAAAAUGAGACAGCGGAUGGGCUGAGCUGCCCCCCCACCCCCAUCCCCCACCUCCUCCUGUCCUGCCGGGACCUGCAGAUGGGACAUAUUUAAUAUGCAAAUUGACACAGCUCUGGCCGGCCGCCAGCGCCGGGUGUCGGUGGUGCCUCGUGUGCACCCAAAGGGACAGCUGCUUCCUGCCUCUGCCACCCGAACCCAGCGGCCAGCGAGCAAAGCAUUGGCGGGACGGAAACCUAUGGGGGUGACCCCCCCUUUCCACCCCCCCCACCCCAAUUGGUGGCCCUCAUGGCUGCAUGGCAGCAGCAGCUGGGCUGGGGGGUGGGGGGGGGUGAACCCCAACCCCAUCGCUGCAGCUCCCCAGCAUGCAAUCUGAUGGGCAUUGCGUUGGGGGGCAGACUGUGUGCCCCCCACCCUCUCCGUGCCAGCUUUGCGUGUUGUCAGCGUUUCCUUAUGCUGCCGCUCGUGAGGGGCCUCAUUAACAUAUCUAAUUGCCGCCUCUCUAUAGUGAUUUGUGCUGAUUGCUUAUUGGCAUUAGUUACUUUGGAAGGAAAAUUACCCUAAACAUCAAAUAAACCCCGGCAUUAGCCGUAUGGAAAGGGACACCAUGGAGAUAUGGGGAUGGCACCCCCAACCCCCCCCCUUAAGUGUGCUUUGGGGUAACAUACCCACCUCGGUGCCACCGCCAUGGGGAACCCCAUGUCCCGGUUUUGGGACCCACCCCCCCCAUUGUAACCCAUUAUGGUGGUGGCACCCGUGGGGAGGGGAGGCUCUGGGUUGCGAUGGGGGGGGAAAUGGGGGGGGGAACAACCCAGAGUCAAAGCGGUUCCAGUUGGUGACAGCUGCGGCGGUGCCGGCUCCGGUUACGGUGACAUCAGCUCUACCUUCCCACCUGGCGCGGGGGGCUCGGGCCCCGUCCCAUGGGGGUCCCAUGGGGGUGGGGGGGGAAGGGAGGUGGGGGGGACGGAGUGACAGCUGAGCGGCUCUCGGGCUCCAGACAUCCAGACAUGCACCCGGCGCUGCCGGAGCUUCCAGGGGGACCCUCUUGCAGCAGUGGGGACAGCGGUGGCAGCGGAGCUGAGGUGGGCAGAACGGGGGGCACGGGGUGCCCUGGUGCCAUGGUGAGGGGAUCCCAUCCCUGGGAGGGAAGCACUUCUCCCCCCCUCCUUCCCCCCCCCCCUCCCCAAACCAAGGGGUUGAAGGGAUGGACUCAGUGUUGUCCCUUAGGAUGGCUGCGGGGCCAUGCAGUCACCUCCGGGAUGGGCGCAAAGCUGCAGAGCUUUCCCUCCCCUUUCCCCCCCCCUCCCCGUGCCUCAUUGCUGGGGGGACGCUGAAGGGGGUGGGGAAGGAUGGGGUGAGCAUCAGCCCCCCCUGAGGCUGUGGGUGCGGCUGGGUGGUGCCUGGCGCUGGGCAUGCUCUCAAAUGGGGAAACUGAGGCACAGCACGGGGACAACUUGCCCACGGUUGCUCAGCAGCUCUGGGUCGCAGCCAUCCCCCAUUCACCAUCUCCCACCACCAUCCCAUCCAUCUUCUACCAGGGACCCUCACCCCAAUAUGAGGGGCACCCCCUUCUCGCUGCCUCAGUUUCCCCGCAGCUCCCGACGGCCGUCCCCGCUCCUCUCCCCCUUCUCCUCCUCCUCCUCCUCCUCCUCCAUCAAUGGGGCCCUGUUCUCCACCGUGCCCCCCGCUCGCCGCCAGCCCCCUCCUCCUCCCCGGCCCCUCUCAGCCAUUGCCUUUUCUUCACCCUCACAAUCGGAGGCAUUUAUGCAGCCGGAGGCUCGGGUUACCCCGACCGCGCUGGGCACCCGCUCACUGUCACCACUGAGCGCCGGGGGGACGGUGACACCGGAGCCCCCCAGCUGGGUUACAGCCACUGGGGCCAAUGGCAUGGAGUUCCCGAGGGUCCCCGCGCCCCAAAUCCCACCGGGAGAGCGGCUGCGUGGCAACGAU
rnacentral:lncRNA from 1 species